rnacentral:rRNA from 1 species
AGCUACGCCAGUAGUUGUGGAGUCGUCCUUGAAAUACCACCCUUGAAUAUUUGAAGUUCUAACUCAGGAGAGAUUCGAGGACAGUGUAUGGUGGGUAGUUUGACUGGGGCGGUCUCCUCCUAAAGAGUAACGGAGGAGUACGAAGGUGCACUCGGUACGGUCGGAAAUCGUGCCAAGAGUAUAAAGGCAAAAGUGCGCUUGACUGCGAGAGUGACGGCUCGAGCAGGUACGAAAGUAGGUCUUAGUGAUCCGGUGGUCCCGAAUGGAAGGGUCAUCGCUCAACGGAUAAAAGGUACUCCGGGGAUAACAGGCUAAUUCCUCCCAAGAGUUCAUAUCGACGGAGGAGUUUGGCACCUCGAUGUCGGCUCAUCACAUCCUGGGGCUGAAGUAGGUCCCAAG